rnacentral:misc_RNA from 1 species
UGGAAGUAAAAAGUCGUAACAAGGUCUCCGUAGGUGAACCUGCGGAGGGAUCAUUACUGAGUUCGGGGGCAAUCCCAGUCCCGACCUCCAACCCUUUGUGAACACAUCUUGUUGCUUCGGGGGCGACCCUGCCGUUCGCGGCAUUCCCCCCGGAGGUCAUCAAAACACUGCAUUAUUACGUCGGAGUAAAAAGUUAAUUUAAUAAAACUUUCAACAACGGAUCUCUUGGUUCUGGCAUCGAUGAAGAACGCAGCGAAAUGCGAUAAGUAAUGUGAAUUGCAGAAUUCAGUGAAUCAUCGAAUCUUUGAACGCACAUUGCGCCCCCUGGUAUUCCGGGGGGCAUGCCUGUUCGAGCGUCAUUUCACCACUCAAGCCUCGCUUGGUAUUGGGCGUCGCGAGUCUCUCGCGCGCCUUAAAGUCUCCGGCUGUUUGACCCGUCUCCCAGCGUUGUGGCAACUAUUUCGCAGUGGAGUUCGAGUUGGAUUGGCCGUUAAAUCUUUCAAAGGUUGACCUCGGAUCAGGUAGGGAUACCCGCUGAACCUAAGCAUAUCAAUAAGCGGAGGA